rnacentral:rRNA from 1 species
GAUGAGCAUGCGUCCCAUUAGCUAGUUGGUAAGGUAACGGCUUACCAAGGCUACGAUGGGUAGGGGUCCUGAGAGGGAGAUCCCCCACACUGGUACUGAGACACGGACCAGACUCCUACGGGAGGCAGCAGUGAGGAAUAUUGGACAAUGGGCGCAAGCCUGAUCCAGCCAUGCCGCGUGCAGGAUGACGGUCCUAUGGAUUGUAAACUGCUUUUAUACGAGAAGAAACACUCCUUCGUGAAGGAGCUUGACGGUAUCGUAAGAAUAAGGAUCGGCUAACUCCGUGCCAGCAGCCGCGGUAAUACGGAGGAUCCAAGCGUUACCCGGAAUCAUUGGGUUUAAAGGGUCCGUAGGCGGUUUAAUAAGUCAGUGGUGAAAGCCCAUCGCUCAACGGUGGGACGGCCAUUGAUACUGUUAGACUUGAAUUAUUAGGAAGUAACUAGAAUAUGUAGUGUAGCGGUGAAAUGCUUAGAGAUUACAUGGGAUACCAAUUGCGAAGGCAGGCUACUACUA